UUUCCGUAGGUGAACCUGCGGAAGGAUCAUUACCGAGUUCAUGCCCGAAAGGGUAGACCUCCCACCCUCGUGUAUUAUUACUUUGUUGCUUUGGCGAGCGCAAGCUCGGCAGAGAAUACCAAAACUCUUUUUAUUAAUGCCGUCGGAGUACUAUAUAAUAGUUAAAACUUUCAACAACGGAUCUCUUGGUUCUG
rnacentral:misc_RNA from 1 species